rnacentral:lncRNA from 1 species
UUACCAUACCUUUGAUAAGCAAUAAGUGAAGAAGAGAAUGAAUGAAAAUUGUUAGAAGGUUACUUUGUUUAUUUUAUUUUAUUUUAUUUUAUUAUUAUUUUUUUGUUUACGUGUUAUAACUUCUAAAAACAUUAAACUAUAAUGCCAGGGGUAAGCUGACAGUGCGGCAGGUACAGUAGGCUUACCUUUUAUUUUGAGACUGCAUUGCCGCUAUCCUGAUGCUCACGCUUUGAUGCCACACACGUGCUCCUCGCUAACUUAACUUACGUAAACAAACAUCAAUCCCGCGGGCGAGAAUUCGUAUUUGUGGAUGAUUGUGAGUUAGCAACGAUUAUAUUUCAGUAUGUUUAUACAACAAUAAACAUAUUUAAAAUAUGUUUAGAGCUUGACAUCUUGCAUUCCUCAUGUGCCAAACUUCAUGACUUGUUGAAACUACACGAGGAUUUCCAGGUUUAUCUGAUGUGCUGUGACAUAUACAGAAAAUCUCAUCGCGCUGCAGUUUUCAUCCAUCUCAGAAUGUGCUGCUGCUCUGAACGCGACCAGCAGUUCAGGUGCACACAGUAUGUGAGUAUAUGGAAGAGAGAGAGAGAAAGAGCAUGUCUUGACAGCGCUUGACUGCUAAGAAGCAGGUAAGUGUGUGCCGAUGGAUGACUGGCGUUUGGGUGACUCUGGCACAGGUGUGACAGCCACGAGGAGUGGAACUGGCAAGACUGACAUAUCAGAGGCAGUUCAGAGCCAGCGUGUCACUAAUAGGAAAUCAACAAAGUCUUCCCUCAACUGGCUCUAAGUGACCAGCAUAAUUCAGCACUGGGACAUGUAAUUUUAAUCAUUAAUCCCUAGGCAAGAGCUGGAAGUGUCCGGUCAAAUAUGUUGUGAUGGGUCCUUGCACUUGUCAGGAGGCUGUGGGUAUUUUCAGGGAAAUUCUGCUAAGUGUGUAAUUGUAUGGCAGUGUUUUACCUUAGUAAACUGGUGGAGCCCUUUACUAUAGAAAUCCAAUGGAGUGAGCAUCUGUGAUAAGUUUAAUAUUGUAAUUUUACAGUGAUGAGUUUAAUAUAUAUUUUUAUUAUUGGUUUCAUUAGUUUUCUAUAUUACCUUAAUUGUCUUUAGUUAUUUAUUACUAUAAUUCUGGAUUUGUUGUUAUGCUUUAUUAAAUAAUUUUAAGGUUCUAUAUUGAUUAAAAUGUUGCUUUUAUAAUAUUAUUUG